AUUGAACGCUGGCGGCAUGCCUUACACAUGCAAGCCGAACGGUAACGGGCCUUCGGGCGCCGACGAGUGGCGAACGGGUGAGUAAUGCAUCGGAACGUACCUUUCAGUGGGGGAUAACGUAGCGAAAGUUACGCUAAUACCGCAUAUUCUGUGAGCAGGAAAGCAGGGGAUCGCAAGACCUUGCGCUGAUUGAGCGGCCGAUGUCAGAUUAGCUAGUUGGUGAGGUAAAGGCUCACCAAGGCGACGAUCUGUAGCGGGUCUGAGAGGAUGAUCCGCCACACUGGAACUGAGACACGGUCCAGACUCCUACGGGAGGCAGCAGUGGGGAACUUUGGACAAUGGGGGCAACCCUGAUCCAGCCAUGCCGCGUGAGUGAAGAAGGCCUUCGGGUUGUAAAGCUCUUUCGGCCGGGAAGAAAUCGCACAGGUUAAUAUCUUGUGUGGAUGACGGUACCGGAAUAAGAAGCACCGGCUAACUACGUGCCAGCAGCCGCCGUAAAAC
rnacentral:rRNA from 1 species